AGUGAACGCUGGCGGUAGGCCUAACACAUGCAAGUCGAACGGCAGCACAGGAGAGCUUGCUCUCUGGGUGGCGAGUGGCGGACGGGUGAGGGAUACAUCGGAAUCUACUUUUUCGUGGGGGAUAACGUAGGGACACUUACGCUAAUACCGCAUACGACCUACGGGUGAAAGCAGGGGACCUUCGGGUCUUGCGCGAUUGAAGUAGCCGCUGUCGGAUUAGCUAGUUGGCGGGGUAAAGGCCCACCAAGGCGACGAUCCGUAGCUGGUCUGAGAGGAUGAUCAGCCACACUGGAACUGAGACACGGUCCAGACUCCUACGGGAGGCAGCAGUGGGGAAUAUUGGACAAUGGGCGCAAGCCUGAUCCAGCCAUACCGCGUGGGUGAAGAAGGCCUUCGGGUUGUAAAGCCCUUUUGUUGGGAAAGAAAUCCAGCUGGCUAAUACCCGGUUGGGAUGACGGUACCCAAAGAAUAAGCACCGGCUAACUUCGUGCCAGCCGCCGCCGUAA
rnacentral:rRNA from 1 species